rnacentral:tRNA from 1 species
GCCCCGGUGGCACAAUCGGUUAGCGCGCCGUACUUAUAAUGCGGAGGUUGUGAGUUCGAGCAUCACCCGGGGCA